AAGUAAUCAUAUUCAACCAUACAAAAUCAAUAAAUAAGACCGUCAAUCAAAAUUGAUUCGUCGCCCCUGGAUAUUAGGUCCUUAAUUGAAUUGUAGCUGGUAUAUAAAAGAGCUUGGUGUAAUGGUAUUGGUGACUGUAAGACGAGCCCUCAGCACGAUGAAGUGGCUCGCGUUACUGUUCCUGAUGCUGGGCGUGAUGUCAGCCAUGGCUGACGAUAUAGACUCCAGGGAUGGAGCGCCAGACUACACCAGUAGGUACGCUGAACUGGCGUCACCGUUACCAUCUCAUAUCAACGUCCAGGACCUGCUCUCUUCUCUUGCAGCCGCCAGCCACCUACACUAACCAACCCAGACCCUCAAUUCUCCAAAAACAUGACCCUGAUACUAAAACUCAAAUAUCUAUAAUACUUUGUGCUAUACAGAUCACAGAAUUUAUUUUAUGACACAAAAAAUAUGUAUUUAUGACACAAAAAAUAAUUAAUUUAUGUUUUUUAAAAUACGAAUUUUUAUUUCGUAUUUCUUUUUAUGAAUCAUAAAUGUAUUUUUAAUUUGAAAUUCUGUGAUCAUUUUUGUUUGAUUGAAGUAAACCCCACUAGUGCUUUUAAUUCGAGUUUUGUGUUUUAUAAUGCAAUUUAUUUUAUUUAUAUAAAUAUGUGUAUUAAUGAUCAAAAGUGUGUAACGCUUCUGAAUUUGUAUUUAUUUUUAUAUUAAAGUGUAAGUUUGCUCGUU